rnacentral:rRNA from 1 species
UACAGAGGGGGCAAGCGUUGUUCGGAAUUACUGGGCGUAAAGGGCGCGUAGGCGGCCUUCUAAGUCGAACGUGAAAUCCCCGGGCUCAACCCGGGAACUGCGUCCGAUACUGGAAGGCUUGAAUCCGGGAGAGGGAUGCGGAAUUCCAGGUGUAGCGGUGAAAUGCGUAGAUAUCUGGAGGAACACCGGUGGCGAAGGCGGCAUCCUGGACCGGUAUUGACGCUGAGGCGCGAAAGCCAGGGGAGCAAAGCGGGAUUAAGAAACCCUAG